AACCAUUCUCACCUGCGGCUAGACCUGCGGAGGGAUCAUUACAGAGUUGCAAAACUCCCUAAACCAUUGUGAACGUUACCUAAACCGUUGCUUCGGCGGGCGGCCCGGGUCCUUCCCGGCGCCCAUCGGCCCUCGCGGGCGCCCGCCGGAGGUAAACCAAACUAUUGCAUUGUAUGGCCUCUCUGAGUCUUCUGUACUGAAUAAGUCAAAACUUUCAACAACGGAUCUCAGAUCGGAAGA
rnacentral:misc_RNA from 1 species